ACCGGGAUGUUCAUAACCCUUUGUUGUCCGACUCUGUUGCCUCCGGGGCGACCCUGCCUUCGGGCGGGGGCUCCGGGUGGACACUUCAAACUCUUGCGUAACUUUGCAGUCUGAGUAAACUUAAUUAAUAAAUUAAAACUUUUAACAACGGAUCUCUUGGUUCUGGCAUCGAUGAAGAACGCAGCGAAAUGCGAUAAGUAAUGUGAAUUGCAGAAUUCAGUGAAUCAUCGAAUCUUUGAACGCACAUUGCGCCCCCUGGUAUUCCGGGGGGCAUGCCUGUUCGAGCGUCAUUUCACCACUCAAGCCUCGCUUGGUAUUGGGCAACGCGGUCCGCCGCGUGCCUCAAAUCGACCGGCUGGGUCUUCUGUCCCCUAAGCGUUGUGGAAACUAUUCGCUAAAGGGUGCUCGGGAGGCUACGCCGUAAAACAACCCCAUUUCUAAGGUUGACCUCGGAUCAGGUAGGGAUACCCGCUGAACUUAAGCAUAUCAAUAAGCGGAGGAA
rnacentral:rRNA from 2 species